UACGUAGGGUGCAAGCGUUGUCCGGAAUUAUUGGGCGUAAAGAGCUCGUAGGCGGUCUGUCGCGUCUGCUGUGAAAACUCAGGGCUUAACCCUGAGCUUGCAGUGGGUACGGGCAGACUAGAGUGCGGUAGGGGAGACUGGAAUUCCUGGUGUAGCGGUGAAAUGCGUUGAUAUCGCUAGGAACUCCGGUGGCGAAGGCGAGGUGCUGGACCCUUUCUGACGCUGAGGCGCGAAAGCCAGGGGAGCGAACGGG
rnacentral:rRNA from 1 species